CUUCGAUGCUGCAUCUCCUAAUGUCCAGAUAGUUGUGGACAACAUCAAGGCUGAGGCCAAACUGUGGUGCAUGGCAGGGGGAAAAGGGUUGAGCGCUUUAUGGCUGUGACAGUCUGUUUACCUGACAGGCCAAGAACUUUUUAUUCCUCCUUUAAUGAAAUGAUGCACAGUUCUC